rnacentral:piRNA from 1 species
UAUGCGGUUUUUUUUGGGAGC